rnacentral:rRNA from 1 species
AUGCCUUGGCCGCCAUUGAGCAGAAUGCCGCUGGUGGCCAGUGGCGACAGAGUGCCGUCUCAGCGGACAAGGGAGUAUCAAGCGAUACAUCAUCAUCAUCAAGCGAGCAUGGGAGUUCUUCCUGCAAGAGGUGUCCAUGGGCAAUGUCCUCAGCGCAAAGCUCGGCUAGGCCCCGGCCAGGCAGGCCUCUCUCCGCGUCGCCUGCCCAACACCGUACCCUGCACCACUGUCAACAAAGUCUGCUCGUCGGGGACGAAGGGUAUCCAUAUUUCAUCUCUUCACCUGCAAUGUCUCCAUAGUUACUUGUCGCCGCUGCUAAAAAACUUAUGUUGUUGCCUGUUGGCCUGCUCCUUGCUAUCUGAAGUAUAUAUUUUUUGUCUAUCGCUCAUUCGCUAUCUGAAGAAUUUUAUGAAGGUAAUUUUAGUGUGUGUUUAG